rnacentral:rRNA from 1 species
GUUCAAUUCUGGCUCCAGAUUGAACGCUGGCGGGAUGCUUUACACAUGCAAGUCGAACGGCAGCACGGACUCGGUCUGGUGGCGAGUGGCGAACGGGUGAGUAAUGUAUCGGGCGUGCCUAGUAGCGGGGGACUACGCGAAGCGUAGCUAAUACCGCAUACGCCCUUCGGGGAAAGCGGGGGACCUUCGGGCCUCGCACUAUUGAAGCCAGCCGAUAUCGGAUUAGCUAGUUGGUGGGGUAACGGCUCACCGAGCGACGAUCAUCGCAUUAUGGUUUGAGAGGACGAUAGCCCACACUGGGACGCGGACACGGCCAGACUCCUACAGGAGAGCAGCGGUGGAGAAUUGCACCGGACAAUGGAAGCCCUGAUCCAGCCAUCCCGCGUGUGUGAUGAAGGCCUUGGUUGCAAGCACUUUUGGCAGGAAAGAAACGGCACAGGAUAAUACCCCGUGCAACUGACAGUACCUGCGAAUAAGCACCGGCUAACUACGUACCAGCAACCGCGGUAAUACGUAGGGUGCAGCGUUAAUCGGAAUUACUGGGCGUAAAGCGUGCGCAGGCGGUUCGGAAAAGAAGAUGUGAAAUCCCAGAGCAACUUUGGAACUGCAUUUCUUCCGAGCUAGAGUGUGUGUCAGAGGGAGGUGGAAUUCCGCGUGUGGUGAAAUGCGUAGAUAUGCGGAGGAGCACACCGAUGGCGAGGCAGCCUCUGGGAUAACACUGACUUUCUGCAAAGCGUACGGGGGAGCAAACAGGAUUACGAAUACCCUGGUAGUCCACGCCCUAAACGAUGUCAACUAGCUGUUGGGCGCCGGGCCUUGGUGGCGCAGCUAACGCGUGAGGUUGACCUGCCCUGGAAGUACAGUCGCAAGAUUAAAACUCAAAGGGAAUUGACGGGGACCCGCACAAGCGGUGGAUGAUGUGGAUUAAUUCAGUACAGCCUUGAAAAACCUUUACCUCCGGUAUGUCUGGAAUCCCGAAGAGAUUUGGGGUGCUCGCAAGAGAACCGGAACACAGGUGCUGCAUGGCUGUCGUCAGCUCGUGUCGUGAGAUGUUGGGUUGAGAUCCGCAACGAGCACAACCGUGUCAAUAUGAUUGCUACGAAAGGGGCACUCUAAUGCCGAGACUGCAAACUGACAAACCGGAGGAAGGUGGGGAUGACGUCAGUCCUCUGUGGCCCCAUAUGGUGGGGCUUCACACGUCAUACAACGGUCGGGACAGGGUGCUGGCUGCGAGGAGACCAAUCCCAGAAACUGAUCGUGAAAAAGUCCGGAUACUGAUCCUGCAGCUCGGCUGCGUGAAGUCGGAAUCGCUAGUAAUCGCGGAUCAGCAUGUCGCGGUGAACCGUUCCGGGUCUUGUACACACCGCCCGUCACACCAUGCUGGGAAUUAGGUUUUACGGUAGUUAGCUAACCGUAAGGGCGAUUACAAAGUGGAUUCAUGACUGAGGUGAAGUCAUAACUAAGGCAG